UACGUAGGGUGCAAGCGUUGUCCGGAAUUAUUGGGCGUAAAGAGCUCGUAGGCGGUUUGUUGCGUCGGCUGUGAAAUCCCGAGGCUCAACCUCGGGUCUGCAGUCGAUACGAGCAAACUAGAGUGUUGCAGGGGAGACUGGGAAUUCCUGGUGUAGCGGUGAAAUGCGCAGACUAUCAGGAGGAACACCGGUGGCGAAGGCGGGUCUCUGGGCAACAACUGACGCUGGAGGAGCGAAAGCGUGGGGAGCGAACAGG
rnacentral:rRNA from 1 species